rnacentral:rRNA from 1 species
GUCGAGGGGCAGCACAGGUAGCAAUACCGGGUGGCGACCGGCGCACGGGUGAGUAACGCGUAUGCAACUUGCCUAUCAGAGGGGGAUAACCCGGCGAAAGUCGGACUAAUACCGCAUGAAGCAGGGAUCCCGCAUGGGAAUAUUUGCUAAAGAUUCAUCGCUGAUAGAUAGGCAUGCGUUCCAUUAGGCAGUUGGCGGGGUAACGGCCCACCAAACCGACGAUGGAUAGGGGUUCUGAGAGGAAGGUCCCCCACAUUGGUACUGAGACACGGACCAAACUCCUACGGGAGGCAGCAGUGAGGAAUAUUGGUCAAUGGCCGAGAGGCUGAACCAGCCAAGUCGCGUGAGGGAUGAAGGUUCUAUGGAUCGUAAACCUCUUUUAUAAGGGAAUAAAGUGCGGGACGUGUCCCGUUUUGUAUGUACCUUAUGAAUAAGGAUCGGCUAACUCCGUGCCAGCAGCCGCGGUAAUACGGAGGAUCCGAGCGUUAUCCGGAUUUAUUGGGUUUAAAGGGUGCGUAGGCGGCCUUUUAAGUCAGCGGUGAAAGUCUGUGGCUCAACCAUAGAAUUGCCGUUGAAACUGGGGG